GUCAUCCGCAUUCAGGGAAUCUCGAAAAGAUAUUGUCCGUGUUCCCCAUAAAAAGUUGAAUGGAGUGUAACAUGUAUUUCCAUUCAUAACUAUACAUUUUAUUUAAGCUAAGUGCUUGUUUAAAAGGGGCCAGUUUGCCCACAUGUCGACAAAAUAUGCCACCACCGGCGAGAACAGAUAGUACAAGGAAAUGGAAGUUUUGUCUACAGCAAAUGGAUGAUUAUCUUCUUUAUAGUUGGAGGAAUGUUCUUCUUAAUUGGUGUGUACUUUACUGCAAAAAAGAAAAAAGAAACGUGGACAAUGUAGUAACGAGUUUAUGGCUAAUUAAGAAAUCCUGGAGUUAUUGGAAUAAUGUGCGGUCUUAAAAUGAAUCGAAAUAAUGAAUUGGAAGGACAGUCUUGGAUCUCAUUAGGAGUGUUAAGCUGCCUACUUGGGGUUACUCUAUCAGGCAGCAUGUCUGGUUAUCGUACGCUAAUGCGACACCUUCGAGAUCGGAGGGCCACAAAUCUUGGGUAGCCAUGGAGACAUCUUAUGGUAGCCAUCAAACCAGUGAAGUUGCUAUGAACGCGAGGCGAUUCAGAAAAAUGUUGGUACAUUUUUUGGGGUGCUACAAUACGAAAUCACUUCCUUGUUUGCUUCACGAAGUUACAAAAAUGCGAAGCAUUUUUUUGGAAUAUUAUGGAAUGUAAAUUAAGUCACGUUGCCACGUUUUUCUGACGGCCACACGAGUCAUAUCCAACAGGAAAGAAGUGAUAAGUAUGUUCCUUCUAUCUGUAUAAUCUUGAACGUUUUGCGCGCAAUGUAAUGUAAUUCUUUUAUUUAUACACCUGUUAUAAUUCUGAGCUCGAAUUACGUUCAGGUAUAUACAUAAAAUAUGACUAUGAGUGUGUUUUCAAAAUUGUUUUUAUUUGUAACACUGUCUAUUCGAUCACUGUCUAGAUAAGCACUUUGAAUGUAUUUGGAACUGAUUUUAUCGAUACCUGGAUCCAAUAACUAUUCAAAUAGACGUAGUAAUACAACAUGCGUGUAUCUAUUUUUCCUAUAAUCCUCUGGUUGAUAACCUAACUUGCCUACGUGUACGAGUUGCGUGCUAACAACUAUUGAUUCAACUGAAACUCUUCGUGUAUAUUCUACAAAAUGUAAACCAAUAUAUCUUCACAAAACGCUUCCUAUUUUAAAACUUAACAUAGCAUCGUUAUUUAUUGCAGCUACGGCACUAGAUCGAUAGCUUAUUUUCUCGUUCGCAGUACUACGACAAUAAAGGUCUGUGUAGGUAAAUGUGUUACUAACAUUGAUUGAUGUUCUGUCGUUCAUCUCCCAUCCCGCGGUUGUUAUAGACACAACCGCUUUUAACGUACAGCGAAGGUAAUUAGCUAACACCUCCGCUGAAUGAUUGAUAGUUGGAGCUCACCCAUUAUUUAUUAAAGUUACGCGUUGACUUGUAUGAAUAUACACCUGUCGAUACCUAUUCAUCACGUGCUACAUACAAUAUGUAGGCGAGGAUUCUGUGUAUGCAAAGGGAAACUUCGUUUUAUUAGCAAUUCCAGUGUAAACGGCUUAUGUGAUUGAUAUUAAAUGCACACGUUGAAAUCCUGUCGAUUUUCCUGUUCGCGGAAUAGUUUUUACGUUGGAAGGUUGUAUUUUUUUAUUGUGUUGGGAAGUCCACUGUCCUGAGUUUCAACCGUCCAUUAUGCACGAGUGUUUGCUCUAUGCUGUAAAAAGUAUGAACUCGGCUAUUUAUUAAAUACUGUUUCUACCAGUACCUACAUGUCAUUAAGGACUGGGAGUAUGUAGUCUGUUGUUUUUCGAUUCAACUUUUACCGUAGGGGUUUUUAUAAAUAAAAAUUCCGCGUAGGUGUGUUGGCUCGAGAGGGUCGGAAAAUUUGAAGGUUUUCUUCCACAAAACAAAAAAGGAGCUAACUGGAAGAACUCGUAGAAAUGUAAACAGAAUUAUUUAGAACCACAAAAUUUGAGACUUUACCUUGUAGGCGUUACAACAAAAAGUAAACACACCUAAUGGUGUUGGAAGCACGUCUUAGAGCGACAGACAUUCCAACUGUCGUUGCCUAAACAAGACUCGUAUAUUAAGCCUGGGGAUAACACAGGUAAAACAGACUACUCUAAAAGUCAGACAAGCGAAUAAAACAGUGAGAAGUACGGCACUCGUCUAGUUUCCGUACGUUGUUAUUGGGUCUUGGUCCUUUUUGCCCGGCAAGGUGUUAGCUGAUGCAGAGUUAGGGUUAAAUGUACGGACGUGGGUUUUAAACCGGUUGUGGGUUUAAGUUAACUCUUCUGUUGACGAAAAAGAAUCCUCUCGCGAACUUUAAAUGGGAUUUUACUUUUUACAAUAAACUACAGUAUUUUUAUUCUAGAACCAUGAGACAAGAAUUUCUAUUCAGCGAGUUUUUUCUAAAAACAUUAUGUAACAAAAGCAAAUGUAUAAAUAUUUUAUACGGCUAUAUUCAGGUAUGCUUUUAUGUCCUAUUGUGUUCCGUUGUGUGUAAAAUAAAAUGCUUUUGAUAAAGAAUUAUUCCAUCAGGCAACUUUUUUCACUAUUACAUCUUUGGCGAUGCAAUUUCCACGAAAAGUAACAAAGAAAAAUAUUCCAAGAAUAUUCGUUUAGGCGUGCUUUCGCUCUGGUGUAGUCCAGUGAUCUUCUACGUUGAAAUAAAAGAUUCAAAUGGGCGUUCUAAGAAAAGGGAUACUGCACAGAAUUCCAGAUCAAUGAUGUAAAUACUUGUCAAGUGGAUAAGGUGAAAUGUGGUUUCAGCGAUCACGUUGCCGCAAAGUGAAGUGGUCAAGACAAUUCCUUUGUCGGCUCACUGAAGUGCAAGCGAUACAUAGUACUGAUAUAAUUACUUCACACGACACACAGUCAUCUUUCAGCACGAAUGAACGAUUGCUUGACUGAUCAGUCAAUUCGCCUCGGUCGGCCGGCCGGAGUAAUCGACUCACUAUGCUAUGAGUGACCACUGGCUGGUGAUC
rnacentral:lncRNA from 1 species